AGUGAACGCUGGCGGUAGGCCUAACACAUGCAAGUCGAACGGCAGCACAGUAAGAGCUUGCUCUUACGGGUGGCGAGUGGCGGACGGGUGAGGAAUACAUCGGAAUCUACUUUUUCGUGGGGGAUAACGUAGGGAAACUUACGCUAAUACCGCAUACGACCUACGGGUGAAAGCAGGGGAUCUUCGGACCUUGCGCGAUUGAAUGAGCCGAUGUCGGAUUAGCUAGUUGGCGGGGUAAAGGCCCACCAAGGCGACGAUCCGUAGCUGGUCUGAGAGGAUGAUGAGCCACACUGGAACUGAGACACGGUCCAGACUCCUACGGGAGGCAGCAGUGGGGAAUAGUGGACAAUGGGCGCAAGCCUGAUCCAGCCAUACCGCGUGGGUGAAGAAGGCCUUCGGGUUGUAAAGCCCUUUUGUUGGGAAAGAAAAGCAGCAGGUUAAUACCCCGCUGUUCUGACGGUACCCAAAGAAUAAGCACCGGCUAACCUCGUG
rnacentral:rRNA from 1 species